CACGUAGGGUGCGAGCGUUGUCCGGAAUUAUUGGGCGUAAAGAGCUCGUAGGCGGUGUGUCGCGUCGGCCGUGAAAAACCUGCAGCUUAACUGUGGGCUUGCGGUCGAUACGGGCAUCACUGGAGUUCGGCAGGGGAGACUGGAAUUCCUGGUGUAGCGGUGAAAUGCGCAGAUAUCAGGAGGGAACACCGGUGGCGAAGGCGGGUCUCUGGGCCGGAUACUGACGCUGGAGGAGCGAAAUGCGUGGGGAGCGAACAGG
rnacentral:rRNA from 1 species